CCAGCCAACAGCCAUGUGGGUGAGAUUGGAAGUGGAUCCUUCCCAGUGGAGCCCUGAAAUGAAGGCCGACACUGCUGACACCGGGAUUGCAGCCUUGUGAGAGGCCUGAGCCUGCUCAAUUGUGCCUGGAGUCCAGGCACACAGAGACUGUGAUAUGUACACUUGCUCUUAGAACCCAGCGACCACACAGUGAGGAAGCCCCAUCAGCUCAUGGAGAAGCCCACAUGGAGAUGAACCAAGGGCUCUGGCCCACAGCCCUCUGGACUUCCAAGCUGAGAGUUAACACCAACUUGCCAGUGAUGAGUCAAGUCAUCUUGACAGUGGUUCUUCUAGGCUUCACCAAAUGCCUUGUGGGGCAAACAUGAGUUGUUCCCAUCAAACCCUACAAAAUUCUAGAUUUAUGAGUAAAAUAAAUCAUUGAUCUUAUUUGA